UGGGGAAUAUUGCACAAUGGGGGAAAGCCCUGAUGCAGCAACGCCGCGUGAGUGAUGACGGUCUUCGGAUUGUAAAGCUCUGUCUUUGGGGACGAUAAUGACGGUACCCAAGGAGGAAGCCACGGCUAACUACGUGCCAGCAGCCGCGGUAAUACGUAGGUGGCGAGCGUUAUCCGGAAUUAUUGGGCGUAAAGGGAGCGUAGGCGGAUAAUUAAGUGGGAUGUGAAAUACUCAGGCUCAACCUGGGGCUGCAUUCCAAACUGAUUAUCUAGAGUGCAGGAGAGGAGAGUGGAAUUCCUAGUGUAGCGGUGAAAUGCGUAGAGAUUAGGAAGAACACCAGUGGCGAAGGCGACUCUCUGGACUGUAACUGACGCUGAGGCUCGAAAGCGUGGGGAGCAAACAGGAUUAGAUACC
rnacentral:rRNA from 1 species